rnacentral:rRNA from 1 species
AUGAAGAAGGAGAAGACGAGGGAACACAAUAAUUUCUGUGUCAUAUUAUUUGUUUCUGAUGUGGCUACUCUGGAAUACAAUUUAUGGGCGAGAGAUCAGACUUUCAGGUUGGGUGCGGUAUUAUAUCUCAUCAGAUUCAGUAACCAGCGUGGAAUUAAUUUUAAUUUUGUUCUUCAUCAGAUAAUAGGACCUUAUGCUCUUUUAACUGAAAAACUGGGAGCACUAGCAGUUCUUCACAAGGAAAGUGGAUUGGACAAUGCCGCUAGCUCGGAUGGCGCCCCGUAUGGAUGUCGAUCGUGGGCGACGUGA